UUGAUCCUGGCUCAGAAUCAACGCUGGCGGCGUGCCUAACACAUGCAAGUCGAACGCGAAAGCCCCGCAAGGGGUUAGUAGAGUGGCAAACGGGUGAGUUACACGUGGGUGAUCUGCCUCAGAGUGGGGGAUAACGACCCGAAAGGGUCUCUAAUACCGCAUAACAUCCUGCCUUUGGAUAGGUGGAGAUCAAAGCUAGUGACCGCAAGGCCUGGCGCUUGGAGAGGAGCCCGCGGCCGAUUAGCUAGUUGGUGAGGUAAUGGCUCACCAAGGCAACGAUCGGUAUCCGGCCUGAGAGGUCGGACGGACACACUGGGACUGAGACACGGCCCAGACUCCUACGGGAGGCUGCAGUGGGGAAUUGUUCGCAAUGGGCGAAAGCCUGACGACGCAACGCCGUGUGGAGGACGAAGAUCUUCGGGUCGUAAACUCCUUUCGAUCGGGAAGAAUGGCUUCCGGGUUAACAGCCCGGAGGAAUGACGGUACCGAGAGAAGAAGCUCCGGCUAACUCUGUGCCAGCAGCCGCGGUAAUAAGGU
rnacentral:rRNA from 1 species